rnacentral:rRNA from 1 species
UACGUAGGGUGCGAGCGUUGUCCGGAAUUAUUGGGCGUAAAGAGCUUGUAGGCGGUUUGUCGCGUCUGCUGUGAAAUCUCAAGGCUCAACCUUGAGCUUGCAGUGGGUACGGGCAGACUAGAGUGUGGUAGGGGAGACUGGAAUUCCUGGUGUAGCGGUGAAAUGCGCAGAUAUCUGGAGGAACACCGGUGGCGAAGGCGGCAUCCUGGACCGGCAUUGACGCUGAGGAGCGAAAGCCAGGGGAGCAAACGGG